UCCCUGCUGGUUUUCCUUCCACAAGAAGGUCAAGAUCUUCCUCAGGAGGACUUUGGGGAAGGAUAAGGGCACGUUGCUAUGGAGGUUGUGAGUGGUUUUUUUGAGGGGGUUGUGUGUUUUAAAAUGCAUUCUAUUGCAUUUAUUGUAUUUUAACUGUAUUUUUAACCCAACACACACAAAAUUGUUUACUGCAUAUACUCGAGUAUAAGCCGACCCAAAUAUAAGCCGAGGCACCUAAUUUUACCACAAAAAAACUGGGAAAACAUUGACUCCAGUAUAAGCCAAUGGUGGUAAAUUUCAGAAAUAAAAAUAGAUCUCAAUAAAAUUACAUUAAUUGAGGCCUCAGUAGGUUAAAUGUUUUUGAAUAUUUACAUAAAGCUCAAAUUUAAGAUAAGACUGUCCAACUCUGAUCAAAUCAUUAUUCUCAUCUUCUUCAAUGUAAAUGUGCUUAUGUAUCCUUUUAAUAAUAAUAGAGUAAAAUAAUACAUGUAAUAAUAAUAGAGUAAAAUAAUAAUAAAUACAGGAAAAUACAUGUAAUAAUAGAGUAAAAUAAUAAAUGCAAUAAUAUCAGAGUGAAAUAAUCAAUGUAUUAAUAAUAGUAAUAAAAAUAGAGUAAACUAAAUGUAAUAGUAGCAACAAUAAUAGAGAAAAUAAUAAAUGUAGUAAUACCAAUAAUAAUAGAGAAAAAUAAUAAAUGUACCAUAUAUUCUCAAGUAUAAGCUGACCCAAAUAUAAGCCAACAAGGACCCUCACCCGAGUAUAAGCCGAGGGGGGCUUUUUCAGUCUUAAAAAGAGGGCUGAAAAACUAGGCUUAUACUCGAGUAUAUACAGUAAUUGUAUUUUUAAUUUUUGUAUUUGCUUUGUUUUAAAUUGAUCAAAGUGUGUGGCUGUUAGCCAACUUGAGUCCCCUCGAGGAGAAAAGUGGGUUAUUAAUAAAGUUAAUAAAUAAUAGUAAUAAUGGUACUUCUUUUGGCAAUAAGUAGUUUUUAAAACUGCAUAUCCUUUCUAUGGGAGCUUGACCAAGAAUGUAUCUAAGAAAUAUUUCACACUACAUAAUUAUAACAUUUCAAUACAACAAUAAUUGUUAGGUCCUGCUGCAAUGUAACUCUUUGAUCAUUUUCUCCCCAAAUCACCCUAGAGGACCUACAAAUGCCUAAAGAAGUAUUCUUCCUAGAAAUCUCUAGGUCCUCUGGUGUUACUCUAUGGUUAACUUGGAUGGCUGAAAAUGUUCAUAUCUGAAUGAUUCCUUGGGGUAAAAAGCAAAACACAGGGCAUCAAAAACUAACAGAAGGAAAAGUUCAAAUCUAGCCUUCUCCAAGAUGAGCUGGUUUUCUAUAAGCAAUGAUUUUCAUUUUCAGUUUAAAGGAAUGCUGUAACAUGUAAUUGCUCCUCGAAUAUUGUGAUGCUGCUCCACCCAGCAAAAGCUGCAACACAUAAUUCUUCUGAUUAUGUAGCUCCUAGAUAGAUACAACAAGAGGGGCUAUGAUUCCAAUUUUGGUUUGGGUGUGCUCUUUGGUGACACUCCUUAAGUUUAAAGAAAGGCCAUAUAACAUGUUACACAGCAAUAUAUUUUAGAUUUCCAACCCUAAAGUAAUAAAAAAAAACAUGAGUGCCGAAUGCCAAAAUGCAAACUAUCCCAGGGCCAAAAUGUCUGGAAACUUCAUGGUCAAUCCUACAGUACCUCAUGAGGUAAAGGAACUUUAUUUGGCCUCAAUUAAAGAAAGUGUCUAACUUGCCAACUAUAAUCAAAACACCAUUUUUAAAAAAUCACAGAGACCUGUCUAGUCUGCUUUCAAAGGGCCGUCAGACAAGUUUGAGAAUAAAGCUUUAUAUUAGUCUGUCAGCAAAAAUUCAAAUACCCCUUUAUUUGGUGUAGGACGUGCUCCUUUUGGAACGGUAUAUUGUCAGCAUUCCUAUAUACUGUCUUUCUCAGAACUCUUUUUAUCCUGAAUUUAGCAACCCUAAAUAUAACUUGAAAGCAUUCCUGAAAAAUUAUAGGCCAAGAACAGUUGACAGACAGAGAACUGAUAGGAAAACUUGCUCACAUUACUUAUGUUGAAGACCCAAACAACACACGGCAUGCAAACUCAUGUAGGGAUAGCUGAAAAGCAUGUUUUAAGAAGGAAAAAGUUGUAGCCAGUGCGGUCAGUUCAGAUCAGAAGUGGAAAUAGAAUCAUAAACCUUUUCUUUUCCAGUUUUAUAUGCAUUCUUUCUCCUUUUGUUUUCAUCACAGAGAAUUUUCUUUUCCCCUUUUAGUCUGUUACUGAAUUUAUUAGUGUAUUAACCAACUUACCAAGACAAGGAUGCCACUGUUAUUACUGAGAAUUGUUUUGUAAUUGGCAGCUUUUGAAAAGGUAAUCAUAAUGGCAUAAUUAUUACUUUGGACUUUAUCACACUAGGCUGUUGUCUUGUGGCAAUCACAUUGUUUGAGUAAAUGGAAACAUAUUGUUAUUGGAAUGAUUGCUUUUAACCUCG
ensembl:lncRNA